AGAGUUUGAUCAUGGCUCAGAACGAACGCUGGCGGCAUGCCUAACACAUGCAAGUCGAACGGCUCUUCGGAGCAGUGGCGCACGGGUGAGUAACGCGUGGGAACCUACCCUGAGGUUCGGAAUAACGGUUGGAAACGACCGCUAAUACCGGAUGUGUCCUAUGGGGCAAAGGCUUGCCGCCUUGGGAGGGGCCCGCGUCCGAUUAGCUUGUUGGUGAGGUAACGGCUCACCAAGGCGACGAUCGGUAGCUGGUCUGAGAGGAUGAUCAGCCACACUGGGACUGAGACACGGCCCAGACUCCUACGGGAGGCAGCAGUGGGGAAUAUUGGACAAUGGGCGCAAGCCUGAUCCAGCAAUGCCGCGUGUGUGAUGAAGGCCUUAGGGUUGUAAAACACUUUCGCCGAUGACGAUGAUGACGGUAGUCGGAUAAGAAGCCCCGGCUAACUCCGUGCCAGCAGCCGCGGUAAUACGGAGGGGGCGAGCGUUGUUCGGAAUUACUGGGCGUAAAGGGCGCGUAGGCGGUGACGUUAGUCGGGCGUGAAAGCCCCGGGCUCAACCUGGGAUCUGCGUUCGAUCUGCGUUGCUUGAGAGCGGAAGAGGGUAGUGGAAUUCCCAGUGUAGAGGUGAAAUUCGUAGAUAUUGGGAAGAACACCAGUGGCGAAGGCGGCUACCUGGUCCGUUUCUGACGCUGAGNNGCGAAAGCGUGGGGAGCAAACAGGAUUAGAUACCCUAGUAGUCC
rnacentral:rRNA from 1 species